rnacentral:rRNA from 1 species
AUUUGGUAUUCAUUGCAUAGGAGAUACACCUGUUCCCAUGUCGAACACAGAAGUUAAGUCCUAUCACGCCGGAAGUAGUUGGGGGUUGCCCCCUGUGAGAUAAGGUAAAUGCCAAGU